rnacentral:lncRNA from 1 species
GAAAGCAGAAGGCGGAGUUCCAACCUCUCGGCUCGGGAAGGGACUAACGCGCAGCUGGCACCGGGUCGGACCGGGCCGCUCCCCAGCCAAGCCCCCUCUCGCUAGCACGGGGAGGGAGGGACAGCUCUUCCAUAGCAAAUACCUGUCGCUGAGCCAGGAGUAAAGUCUGGCCGGGAGGAGGACAGACGCAGAAGACCAGGGGCUCCAGCGCACAGAGCCAGUUUCGCCAGCGAUCAGGUCUGAGGCCUGGAUUCCACGAGGCCGGUGCAAGCCAGGAGCCAGCCCCACUCCCUCGCCCAGCUCCCUCCGGCCUGGCCCUCUGCAGAAGCCUGAUGCCCACCCAGCUGUCUCACCAUGGGACCCCAGGCGGUGAGGGUGGGUAGCCGAGGACUACAGGCUGCUGGGUAGCUGACUUCCCCAAGAAGGGCUGCUGCCAUGUGAUCAGGACCCACGCCCCUGACAUCAACCCCUCCCCCGUGUUCCAGAGCACGGAGCAGCCCGGAACUCU